GGCCUUGUGGUGUAAUGGGAACACACUAUGCUGAAAUGGGAACUCGCACUUGCGGACUUUAUACAUAGAGACUUGCGUUCAAUUCGCAACUGGGCCA